GAAAAUGCAGUGUUCCAGAUGGCUUCGGCAUCUUACCGCACCCAAACAUUUGCGAGGGCCAGCAUUGUUGGCACAAAACACAGAUGGGAAGGGCAAAGCAGAUGCUUCAGUCUGGACAAAAGAUGUUUUCCUUAUUUUAUUCUCAAAGAAGUGCUUGCAGAAAGCUGUCUGGGUGGUAUAGUACAAAAAGCGAAAAAGCAAGGGCAGGAGCAAAAGAAGAGGCCCACCAGGAGCUUUACAAGACAGAAGCUGCGCUUUCCAUGUCAGCAAAUGUAUUCCCACCUCACCGCGAAGGCUGCUGUUGGGAGACCUUCAGCCUGCCAAGAGUACAGUGAAAUUUGGAGCGUGCCUGCUUUAGGUCAGAAACCUGGGCUGCCACACACCCCCUUCCCAAAAAAGCCUUCCUAA
rnacentral:lncRNA from 1 species